UGGGGAAUUUUCCGCAAUGGGCGAAAGCCUGACGGAGCAAUGCCGCGUGGAGGUGGAAAGCCUACGGGUCGUCAACUUCUUUUCUCGGAGAAGAAACAAUGACGGUAUCUGAGGAAUAAGCAUCGGCUAACUCUGUGCCAG
rnacentral:rRNA from 1 species